CCAGAGCCCUGGGCACAAGCCAGGCGCGCUCGCUCUCUCUCUCUCUCUCUCUCUCUCUCUCUCUCUCUCUCUCUCUCUCUCACACACACACACACACACACACACACACACACACACACACACAACUCCAUGCCUUUGCAUAUGCUGUUAUCUCUGUCUGGUGCACCCUUCAUCCUUUGUCAUGGCCACUGCUCAGGAGCUCAGGUCACUUUCUCCCUCUCUCCCUUGAUUGCUAGUUGUCCCUGUACCAACUCUUACAAUUCUCUGUAUUUGUUUCCACUUGGCCACACUCCCCAAGAACAUGAGUUUGGGGCUUGUCUGGUUCUGUAUCCUGUGGUGCAGUCAAGGAGGUGUGCACAGGAACCUGCUGCUUCCGGGAAGGAUGUGUAAGCCCUCCUUUCCAGGUACAAUUCGCUGGGUACUGCAGAGUCCUCUGUGCCCAGAAGUACAUGCACGGGGAAGCCUCCACAGCACAAUUAGUCUCUUCACCAAGUCGAAGGUCAUGCCAUUUCUGAAGUUCAUCACCAAAGAAGGUUGGAACAGGAAUCCAAGCAGGGCAGGAACCUGGAAUCAGGAGCUAAGGCUUGGAGGAAUGCUGCUUGCUGGCUUGCUCUCAUGGUUCUUUCUCCAGGACCACCAACCCAGAGACAGCACCAUCCACAAUGGGAUGCUCCCUCCCGCAUUUUGGUAUAUUUCCAGGAAUGCUCACAUGUGUGAGGAGGAAAACCUGGAUAGUAGUUGGCAAUGUGCCACGGAACUAAUUCCCUGGGGGACUUUAAACAACUGGAUGGAUUAUGUAUUUGCAUUGAUUUUGUGGAUUAGCCGCAGCAAAUGAUGACACCUAUCUACUUUGUUCAUCUGCUCAUUCACUCAUUAGAGGACCAAGUUCAAACUCCUUAGCCCAGCAAAUGAACAAUUUUUCAAUCUGUGUGCUUCAAAUGCUCUCAACUUCACACAAAUCUGGACUUUCCAUCGAUUCAUUUAUACAUUCAAAAAUAAUCAUUUUUCAAUGCUCACUGUGUAGAGGCCCAAGCUCUACGCCAAGGUGGAAGGUACAUCAGCAGCUCUCAUGCCUGGCUCACUGAAUUCAAAGAGCCUUCUUUUUUUUUUUUUUUUGGAGAGAAAAUAAAUUCAAAUCAUUGCAUAUAUCUAUAAUGAUGAAUUAGUAGUUCUUAAUCGAGUCCUGGUUUGGGGGCUAGGUUAGGGAAAUAUGGAAAGAAUCUGUAGUUGUGAAGCCUUGAGCAAAGGAACAAAAAGGUUAAAAGGUCAAGCUUUUUGUUGCGGUCAUGGGUAUGCAGGGCUUCUGUAAUCAGAUGAAAUGACCCCAAAUCAUAAAGACUUAAAAAUCAACAUUAUCACUAUAGCCACAAUUCUAUAGGUCAAGAAUUUAGGCUGAGCGCAGUAGCAGGCUGCAGUAGUCCAAAUGGGUUUCUACUCACAGGGCUCUUGACUUAGUUUGGCUGCUUGACAGUUAAGGGCUGGCUAGGACAGUUCAAAUGGAGUCUGGGUUCUCCCAAGGGCUUUUCCUUGUCAAGGAGCCAUCCCACUUAUAUAUAAACCUUGAGCUUUUAGUCAAGCCCUUCCUGGCCAGCCCCAGGGUCUGCUCGUUUUCUGUACUCCUUUUAGGGUUCUUGCUGCUGAUACACUCAGUAUCUGUGGGUCCCACUAUUUGGCUCUGUUUGGAAGGAGUUGUGCAAUUAAUUCUGCCCUAUACGUCUGGCUGAGCCAUAGUUUCUAGUUUGUGACUUUUCCUCCUCCUGUUCCUCUUCCUCCUCCUCUACCUCCUUCUUUUCUACUUCCUCCUCCUCCUCCUCCUCUUUUUCUUCCUUUUCCUCCUCCUCUUCCUCUAGAUAGAGCAUUGCUAUGCAGAUUAGGCUGGUCUCAAGUUCACUAUGUGGUCCAGGCUGGCCUUGGACUUAAGAUCCUUUUGAAUCAGCCUCCAAAGAAGUGGGUGUACAUCAUGCCCAGUGGAUACUGGUGCUUAUGAGCAGCAAAAUUAAAGAGUGGCACACUGGACAUUUGAGGCACAGAAGGGCCUGAACUGUGCUGAGUUCUGUCACCCAUCAGUGUGUGACUUUGGUGUUAUACUUCUCAGAUCCUCAGAUCUUUCUCUGUGAAGGUAGGGGAGCUGUGUGGGGGCUAUAAGGAUUGGGGAUAAUGUAUGUAAAUUCAUGGGUCUUGCUUGACUCUGGGCAGAUUUCCCACUUGUGAAGCUGCCCUUUUGGCCUGUAUGUACAAGUGUAGGAAGAAGGUCACCCAGAUAGAGAACCAUGGAGUUGUCAAGGUUUAUGAAAGGCUAUUCUUUCAUAAUAACUAGGGUGUCCUAGUGCCAGACAUGAGUCUGGGAUUUAGUCAAAUCAUAAACUAUUGACUUAAAAAUUUGCUUGGAAUCCUCAUCACAUUCCUUCUUCCUCUGCUGUCCCCAUGAAUCCUUUUCCAGCCUUAGUCUCCAAUCCCACAGGUGGCUGGAAAAUAGCUAGCAUUCUGUAAAUGCUAAAUAAUUCUCAUUGACAGUGAUAAUGACCAUCAUAGUAUAAGGACACUAAUAGCAGGUUUUAACAAGGCCCCAUAGUGGCCACAAAUAGGUGUCAUCACGUGCUCCCCAUGGUGCUUCUGGGAAGCUCAUUUUCCCCCAUGCAGCUCUGACCCAAUUGCAGAAACAGACAAAGCAGAUGCAGAACUUUGGGGGAAUCCAGAGUGCCUGUUCUCAGGGUUCCCCAUCCCUCUGAAGUUCUCGGAACAUUAUUAGUCUCUUUCGGCCAGGAAGUGAGGGAGUCAGCGGCCGAGCCUUGGCCACCAUCUCCCUGCCAGGCUUCCUGUCAAUACCUGUUGACAUUUUCCUGAGUAAUUGUUCCAGGCACCUCAGUAUAUUUCUUCAUAUCACGAGAUAGAUUAAGGGGCCUCUAUUGAUUUUGUGGUUUCAUGUGUGAAAGAUCUAAUCUUAAUCCUCCACUGUUCAUUUUCCUUAACCUUUUAAUAACAUGAUAGGGAGGCAACCUGUCACAAUGGAAAUUGUUUCUGAGGCAUGUUGCCAUAUAUACAUGCCACAGUGGGCUUUAGUGUAUGGGAGAAGCCAUAGUUUUGGAAUAAUAAUAAUAAUAACGGUAACAUUUGUAGGGUGCACUGCCAUUUACUGAGCACUCUCCCAUAUCAACUUAUUCAGUCCUGACAGCAGUCCAGCUGGGUUAGAAUUAUUUUAUUCAUUUUGAUUUAUAUAUUCCCACAGUCCUUCCACAACAUGAAUUAUUAUCAUUAUCUGCCACAUCACAGAUGAGGGGUCUGCAGUGCCCAAGGUCACACAGCUCUCAGAGACAAGGUAUGGAGUCAGGGUGAUCUGUCCUCGGGUGCCACACAGGGUCCCUCUGUCACCUUGGACGUGAGCCACAGACUCUCCAAGGUACAUUUCUUCACCCAUGUAACAGGAAGGCUUCCUCUCUGGGAUUUUUGUCAGGGUGAAGGAUGAUAUGUGGGAGCCAUUUCUAUGAUACUUAGCACCCAGAUAGGAUCAGUUCAAGUCAGGUAUGGUAUUAAAAUAGCAAUUAUAGGGUUGGGGAUUUAGCUCAGUGGUAGAGCGCUUGCCUAGCAAGCGCAAGGCCCUGGGUUCGGUCCCCAGCUCCGGAAAAAAAAAAAGGAAAAAAGGAAAAUAGCAAUUAUAUUAAUUAUUUGAUAAUAGCAAGAUGAGAACUUUAUGUCAAACCUCAGCUUUUCAUUCUCUUUACUGGUAGCAAAUUAGAAUCCCUCCUUUCCCCCGCGACACUCAGCUAAGGGCUCUUUAGGCGAACGUAGCUGCCUCAGUUGACGCUGGUGAUGAAGUUCCAGGGUUAGGUGAGGAAGAAAUCUUUGGGACACUUCCCUUGUUGAGCAGGCUCCCAGUUGUGUCCUGAAGUACACAGAGCCCUGGAAGCAUACUGUUCAAUCUGUGCCUUGCAUUACAAAAAGGUGUUGGGGCAUGCAGGUGUUCUCAUUUCAUCAUAGGGACAUCAGAGACAGAAGAUACAAAGAUCAUAGAUUCAAGUCAGAUAAACAGAGGGACCGGCUUGCCUUAAUCCCAUGCGUGAGACCCUGUAGCUCUGGGGCCUUAGGAAAGUCACUUCUUCCCACAAGCUAUCAUUUUAAAAGUCCACAGAUUUACUUGUAAUCUGUGUUCCCUUACUGAGAUUUAACCCGCAAUGGGUUCUAACUGAGCCAUGAACAUAAGGCAGAGCUGUCUUCCUAUCGAUGGGACAGACAAAUGGCAGAAUUUGUGGACGGCAGAUGAAUCUAUUUAAACUCAGCACUAUCAGUUCAAGACAUGAUGGAGGAAGGGGAGGGGGUGAGACACAGUCGAAACCGUGGUGGGGAUGGUGUCAACAUUCCUUCUGGGACUCAGUCUACAGCUUCAGCUCUCCCGAUUAGAAGCCCAUUGUCAGGUUUCUUCUGUCAGUUCUUGAAUGGUGUGGAUCAGCACCCGCUGGCCCUUCCCUCUAGGUGUCUCCCUCCUUGCCAUAACCAGUGUAUCAUGUUCUGGUUUAAAUUUCCAUUGGUAAGUCCCACAUUCCCUGACCUGUGAUCGUUGGUGUACAGCCUUCUCUGUCUGGUUGGCCUUUCUGCUCUGAGUCCCAUUUUCCUUUUGAUGAACUCGAGUUCUCCUUUUCACACCCAAGCUCUCAAAUGCCCCCUUCCUUUGAGACACACCCCCUCACCAUCCUGUUUUGGCCCCAUUGGACUCUUUGGGAUGGUGUUGACAUGUUCAUUUAUAGUGUGAUUCUAAGCUCCUGUGUCCAGUGUUCCCUACCUCUGCUCUUCUCCAUAAUGAGACCUUGUCCUUAUUCAUCUGGAUACAAUCAGCCCCUUUAUCAGUGUCCUUCGAGUAGGACACACUUUUGCUCAGAAGGAGGUUAACAGCUCCACUGGCACCAAUUUCACAUUCCCUAGUGCAUUUAUUCACAGGCUCAGACUAUUUUAUAACACUGCAAGAUCAUAACAUUCACCCCCUGUCUCUUCAUUGUACUCAGAAACUGAGGCUCUUUAGAGGAAGAUAAUUUUUCUGAGGUUUCCCAGGUCUGCAAAAGCAGAGGUGCAAGCCAACUUUAGGCUUUCUCAUUCAGCCCAGGCUUUCUCUCAGCCUUACCUGUUCUCCAAGUGCCUCCAUGUGGAACUCACCCCCUUCAUGGUAGGCAUGGUGCUCUGUGUCAUGAUAAGCCAUGUUUCUUCACUAAAGCUUCAUAGCAAAGUCAUCCGCACUAUUAGUCCUCCCACAAGGACCAAUGUCCAUCAGUGGACUGAGUCGCUUGAAAGAGAGGGUCAUGGAGACACUGGUGCUCUCUCAGGAGCUCUGCUCUGUCUUCUCUUACCCUGGCACUGAACCCUUCUCUCUGUAUUCUUGAUGACAGAUUCUGUCCACUUCCUGCCUUUACUUAUGCAUUCUAGCACUUUAUUGGAUUUUUCUUGGCACUUUUUGUACCCAGGCUCUUCCAUGGCUCUGAGGCUCUUCUUAAGAUCCCUGUCUUGAUGAAGAGACCUAGUCUCACUGCCACUCACUGUCCUCAUGCUCUGGAGAAGCCAACACACACACACACACACACACACACACACACACACACACACACACAGAUGAACAUGAUCUGGCACACUUAAAGACCCAUCCUUGGGCCACCUUUCUUUAUACCUCUGGUAUGUGUUUCCUUGUUGUCGGAGAUCCUGGUAAAGAGAUUUCUUUUCUUGAGAUGAUGGCUUCAUGUGCAGCAGAAUUACAUCAACAUUUGGAAGACCACCCCCUUGCUCUUCCCGAGGCACCCUCAGAACACGUGGAUUUUUUUGACACUCUUUUUUUAAAGAUGCCUAUUUGGGGUUUGACAAAACGUUUUCUUGAGAAACCCAACUUUUCACACAUAAACCCAGUGUUUUCACAGAGAUGAUGCGGCAUGAUUAGCAGAGAAUCCCACCCAUAAAUACAGCUCAUCAGAUCAGCUCUUUCCAUUCUGCUUAGGUAGAGACCUGGAAUGAGCCAAGAGACACACUGGGCAGAGCAGAUCCUCCCAGCUUCCUGAAAGCAAGGAUUGUCCCUCACUUUGUCCUGGAAGCACGAGUAGUUAGAGUGAAGGCUUUGGAAUCUGUGAGUCAGAGGUCAGCUACUGGCUGUCACAUAUAUCCAGGCAUGGUGUUUGUUUCCUUUGAGCUUCGAUUUCUACCUUCAUAAAACCAGGGUUACAAUAUACAUACUUCCUGUGAGGAAAGCAAACCAAGAAUGUAGAUAUGCACGUUCUCGAGUGCGCGCGCAUGCGCGCACGCACACACACACACACACACACAAACACACACACAAACACACACACAAACACAUACAAACACAUACACAUAAACACACACACAUAAACACACACACAAACACACACACAAACACAUACAAACACAUACACAUAAACACACACACACAAACACACACACAAACACACACACAAACACAUACAAACACACACACAUAAACACACACACACACAAACACACACACAAACACACACACAAACACAUACAAACACAUACACAUAAACACACACACAUAAACACACACACAAACACACACACAAACACAUACAAACACAUACACAUAAACACACACACACAUAAACACACACACACACAAACACACACACAAACACAUACAAACACACACACAUAAACACACACACACAUAAACACACACACAAACAUACACACACACACAUUUAAAAGGGAUAGGGAAAGAAGGACAUUGUGCAUGACAAAGAUGACGUAUGAGCUAACUAACGUACAGAUACUUGAAGCAGGCAUUUGGAGAUGAGGAGAUACCAGGACCCGGUAACCAAAUAGCUUAGCUAGACAGAAUAGUCAAGUGAUCUGGUAUCUCUUAGCAAGCAGUCAGGGGAUUUACAAGGUGGGGGAUGAGCAGUGUUUGAAGCAGGCCCUCAGCACAAUAAGACAGGGAGAGUCUUCCAGGGACAAGAUGACCCUGCUGUGGAAACCUUGUCGGAGCUCCAGGUAGACAAGCUUGACACUGUGGGAAGCACUAGUCUCACUGGACAUUACACACUGGAAUUAAAACUUGGUUAUUGGGAAUGGACAUUCACAUCCAGAUCUGAAAGGAAGGCCCUGGUUCUUUGGAGACCCAUUCUAAGUUUGGGAGGACCCAGCAUCUCCAAAUCUACCUGCUGGUUGGGUAGGGUUGCUAAAAUUAACUGUGGUGGUUGCAACCUACUCAGUUCUAAGCAGAGUGCUGGCAUAGGGCAAAGGGAGCAGAAACCUGAGAAAUGUCCCCUGUUUCAGCUGGUUCCCCAUUUGGACAAGAAGACAUCCCACUGAGGGUCAUGGGAUGUCGAGGUGAACCCGAAACUGCUCAGGUAAUAUUUUAGUGCUGAAGCUUCAGGAGUUCUGCCACUUACAACUUUAGUUCUCGCCCCCCUCACCCCAGUCUGGUUUGAGUGCCUGAGAAGAAAUACUAGAUUCCCCAUUCUCUGUUGUGCAGGUAACAGAGAGACGUGGAAAGACUUAGAAAAAUCAGUGUAAAUCAGCAGAACUGUUGGGAAUCCUUUACCAGGUAUUAUUCAAGAUGGAUUUAAAGGACAGACAAGAUGACAACUUAGAUUAGGUUCUCAAUGGUAGGGUGUGCUAGAGAUGUUCACAAGUGGUCAAGGUGGAAUGAUCAGAACUCAUCUGUAAAGACUGGGAGGAGGCUCAGACAGGGAGAGGCCCAGAAGAUAUCAGGGCCCAUUUCUCCCCUCAUCACUGAGCAUGCCCAUAUCCACAAGAAGGAAGGCAGAACUACUCUGCAUCUAGUGCUACCCCCCUCCCCACUUCACAUGCCAUGGCAAAGCCCAGGGAGUUUAGUAUACUGACAAAGGGUGAGGCCAGUCACAUGGACUUCCCCAAACAGAGCCUUGGAAAGUGAGGGUUUCCACCGCCUAUUUCCUAGAGAAAUUUCCAGCUACUUGUAUGCUUGUCCACAGCUUGCUCAGAAGAGCGGUGGGAUCAGUGACGGUUCCUGCCUUGGAAACAGCAUCGUAAGUGGAACACGCGGCAUCAGCAGCCAGGUGCACAGAUGGAAGAAAGACACAGCUCUGCUCCACACCGUCUGUGGGCCUCAAACUUUCAGGCAGGGAUUAGAACUUACCUUUACCGUAGCCUAGGCACUUCACACACACCAGUAAUAAAACUGGGAGACACAGGCACUUGACUGUGGGGACAACUCCACAAGGUGAUCCCCCAACACACCCCCAAAUCUAUAGCUCAGUGAAGAAAAUCAUAUUGCACAAAGUACAUGAAAGCAUUUAUUUAAAAAGCCCCUGAGACAGAACUAAGUAUUUCUUGAAGUAAACAUUCACAAAUGUAGACGUGGAAGAAUGCAGGAGGGGCUAUGUGAAUUAGUGGGUUUCCUGCGAAGGAACCAGGAGCAGAUUUAUGAAUAUUUAAUACUCAUGUAUUUUAUAGCUUAAAAAAAUUUUAGCCUUUAUGUUUACUAGGACAAAGGGUGCAUACUAAACAGAGGUAACUGUAUGUUAUAACGGCAUUUGAAAGUGGUGAGACCUUUCAUUAUUGCCAAACUUCUCACCAUCUUCAAAUUCGAACAGACUUUUUGGUUAACUCAAACAUGUACUAGAUCCAAAAAUGCUUCAGGCUGUGCACUUCUGAUAUAGCGCUUCUGUGAUACAUCACAGGAUCUCACUCCAGUCUUGGUGCUGCACACAGUGUGUCUACUCUCAUCUGUGCUUGUUGUCGCACCACUCAGCUUCAACGAUUGGCGCCACACACUGUGGUUAUGAACUGCGUGGUCAUUGGUUCAACCUUAAGACUGCUACUGAUCUUUGAACACUCUAGUGACAUCCCUUCGUGGUCAAGGAUUAUUAUUUCUAAGAUCAUAUGUUUCCUCAUUUCUUUUUCCAAGUUUCCCUUCACUCCACCCACUUUGGAUGCAUUCCUGGUGUCCAUGGCUACACAUUCCGCUGUGCCACACUGCCUGCUUACAGCCCACUGAAGAUCAGCGUUCUUUUGCCAACAAUUUUCAUAGGUGGAUGCUAUUUAAACAUGCUAAUUUUUUUGCACUCACUGCCUUAAACCGUAGAAUAAUGCCAAUAAAUGGUAUAAUAACCGAUAUCCUUGAUCUCUAAUUUUUAUGUUUUUGAGGCAGGAUCUCACUACAUAGCUGAGGUUGGCUCAGAACUCAUAGAUCUACCUGUCUCUGAAAACCCAAGUGCUUGUAUUAAAGUUAUAUUCCACCACACCCAUCUUUGACCUCUAAUUUCAAUGGGGACCCUUACCAUUGUCCACUGGAGAGGUUUUUCAUGUUAGUUAUUGGUUUGAGGUAAAUAUUAUUUUAUGUGUGUGCUGGCUAGUUUAGGUCAACUGAGGAAUAGGGAAUCUCAAUUAAGAAAGUGCUUCUUAAGACGAAGCUGUAGGUGAUGCUGUAAGAAAUAAUUAGUGACUGAUGGGGAAGGACUUGGCAUACCUAGGUAGAACAAGGCAGUAAGCUACAUCCCUCCAUGGUCUCUGCACCAAUUCCUGCCUUAAGGUUCCUGCCCUGUUUGAGUUCCUGUCCUGACUUUCUUCAAUGAUAGACAAUGAUAUGGAAAUGUGAGCCAAUUAAGUCUUUUCCAUCCCAACUUGCUUUUGACUAUGGUGUUUCAUCAGAGCAAUAGUAACCCUAACUACGACAGUGUACUAAGAGCAUAUUACUAAAAUUCUACCUUCUAAUACCUCCUCCUCCUCCUCCUCCUCCCCCUCCUCCUCCCCCUCCUCCUCCUCCUCC